rnacentral:pre_miRNA from 1 species
ACACAAAUCACCUGGGGAUCUCAUUAAACAUGCAGGUUCUGAUUCAGUAGGUCUUGGUGGGGCUUGAGACUCUGCAUUUCUAAUAAACUCCCAGGUGAUGCCAAU